ACGGCUCAGUAACACGUGGCUAAUCUGCCCUUGGGACGAGAACAACCCCGGGAAACUGGGGCUAACUCUCGAUAGGCGAAGAACUCUGGAAUGAGUCUUUACCUAAAUAGUGCAACGUUAUCCUCGUUGCAUCGCCCAAGGAUGAGGCCGCGACCGAUCAGGUUGUUGGCGAGGUAAUGGCUCACCAAGCCUUUUACCGGUGCGGGCCGUGGGAGCGGGAGCCCGGAGAUGGGCACUGAGACAAGGGCCCAGGCCCUACGGGGCGCAGCAGUCGCGAAAACUUUGCAAUAAGCGAAAGCUUGACAGGGCUAUCCCGAGUGCCAUCCGCUGAGGAAGGCUUUUACCCAGUCUAGAACGCUGGGGGAAUAAGGAGAGGGCAAGUCUGGUGUCAGCCGCCGCGGUAAUACCAGCUCUCCGAGUGGUGUGGAUGUUUAUUGGGCCUAAAGCAUCCGUAGCUGGCUAAGUUAGUCCCUUGUUAAAUCCACCGAAUUAAUCGUUGGAUUGCGGGGGAUACUGCUUGGCUAGGGGACGAGAGAGGCAGACGGUAUUUUCGGGGUAGGGGUGAAAUCCUAUAAUCCCGGGAAGACCACCAGUGGCGAAGGCUGUCUGCUAGAACGCGCCCGACGGUGAGGGAUGAAAGCUGGGGGAGCGAACCGGAUUAGAUACCCGGGUAGUCCCAGCUGUAAACGAUGCAGGCUAGGUGUUUGGACGGCCACGUGCCGUUCUAGUGCCGCAGGGAAGCUGUUAAGCCUGCCGCCUGGGGAGUACGAUCGCAAGAUUGAAACUUAAAGGAAUUGGCGGGGGAGCAC
rnacentral:rRNA from 1 species